AAAAGCUCAAAUUUAAAAUCUGGUGGUCUUUGGCCGUCCGAGUUGUAAUCUAGAGAAGUGUUAUCCGCGCUGGACCGUGUACAAGUCUCCUGGAAUGGAGCGUCAUAGAGGGUGAGAAUCCCGUCUUUGACACGGACUGCCAGGGCUUUGUGAUGCGCUCUCAAAGAGUCGAGUUGUUUGGGAAUGCAGCUCAAAAUGGGUGGUAAAUUCCAUCUAAAGCUAAAUAUUGGCSAGAGACCGAUAGCGAACAAGUACCGUGAGGGAAAGAUGAAAAGAACUUUGGAAAGAGAGUUAAACAGWACGUGAAAUUGCUGAAAGGGAAACGCUUGAAGUCAGUCGCGUUGGCCGGGGAUCAACCUUGCUUUUGCUGGGCGUACUUUCCGGUCKACGGGUCAGCAUCAAUUUUGACCGUUGGAUAAAGGCUGAGGGAAUGUGGCUCCUUCGGGAGUGUUAUAACCCUUGGUCGCAUACAACGAUUGGGAUUGAGGAACUCAGCACGCCGCAAGGCCGGGUACUUGUACCACGUUCGUGCUUAGGAUGCUGGCAUAAUGGCUUUAAUC
rnacentral:rRNA from 1 species